UCUACAACAACCACAACUGCUCCCACAUCAACACACCUUCUUCAACAACAACCACAGCUGCUCCCACAACAACCACAUCCUUCCCCACAACAACCACAGGUGCUCCCACAACAACCACAGCUGCUUCAACAGCAACCACAGAAUCUUCAACAACAACUACAGCUGCUCUUCCAACAACCACAGCUUCUCCCACAACAAACACAGCAGCUCCCACAACAACCACAGUUGCUCCCAAAACAACCACAGCUGCUCCCACAACAAUCCCAGCUGCUCCCACAACAACCACAGCUACUCUCACAACAACCACAGCUGCUCCCACAACAACCACAGCUGCUCCAACAACAACCACAGCUGCUCCAACAACAACCACAGCUGGUCCAACAACAACCACAGAAUCUCCCACAACAACCACAGUCGCUACUUCAAAAACCACAGCUGCUCCAACAACAACCAGAGCUGUUCCCACAACAACCACAGCUGUUCCCACAACAACCACAGCUGCUCCCACAACAACCACAGCUGCUCCCACAACAACCACAGCAGCUCCAACAACAACCACAGCUGUUCCCACAACAACCACAGCUGUUCCCACAACAACCACAGCUGUUCCCACAACAACCACAGCUGCUCCCACAACAAC
ensembl:lncRNA